UGGUAGAUGCACCCUGGUUAAGCCCUGGAGAACUUCUCUAGGGCAUUUUUUA
rnacentral:sRNA from 1 species